rnacentral:lncRNA from 1 species
CAGCAUCUCCAAGCCUCUCUCCAAGUUCGCUCCAGGGCUUGCGAGAAACAAAGUGCUCUCCCUCAGCCCCAGCUCCUCGCACACCCAGUGGAAAGAAAACACUUGCUGUAAUUGGAAAGCCCCGAGAAGGUUGAGAGCACUUUUGUUUUCUUCAUCUCUGCGUCCUUAUUUCUUGGAACACUACCUGGCAAACCAUGGGUGCACCAUGCAGCAAGUUAAGGUCGCCGAAGUAGAAUUGCGUAUUAAGCCAG